CCCCCCCCCCCGACGACCUAGGGCGAGUGGGCGAGCGGCCCUGGCGGCCCGAGAAACCUCCCUCUCUCCAUGUGGGCUGACCGUAAUUUGGGCGUGGCUUGCAGCCCUCCUUGCCGGCGACCCGAGGCUUGCUGGCAAGCGUCGAACAGAUGAAUCAAGCGUAGGGCCUUCGCCACCAUGUCAUAAAAUCAGUUAACUGUUUUCCCACUUAGUCUACUUGCUUCAUCUCGAUUUUCCAUAUUUCUGAGAUCACUUAAGAAAAGACAAUCUGUUGCACACAUCAAUACAUGCCGAUAUUCUUCAUGAAAAGCAUUUGCAAUAAAAUUUUAGUUGAGGUAGAUUUAUUCUUAUGAGUUAUGACAUUCCAGUUUGUUCUUUCUAUACAAAGCAAAUCUUCCUCCAAUAUUCCAAGCGUAAUACAAAAAAGUCUUAACAGCUUAACAAAAUGAAAAAAGUGCAGUAGCUAAAUUGUAUAUUUUCCUGGCAAUAUAUUUCCUACAUUCCUUCUUUUUGUUUUUUAAAUGUUUUUCUUUUUAAACAAGGGUGAGGGUAGUGAUGCUCAGACAAAAUAUGUAAAUCUGGUCUAACCAGUAUCAAACAUGUAAUUUUCUUUAUGGAUUCACGGUUACUUGCCUCAUUGGUACACAUUCUUAAUCUGCUUUCUAUGGUUGUAUUUCAGGAGGAAGAACAAUAUAUGAGAGACAGAGAGAGAUCGGUGUGAGUUGGAAACGGGGAGGCUUAGACAAUGAAGCGUCUAUGGGAUGAAGAUGGCUCACGCUUUAACAACUUCCAAAAUCUUCACCAAUUUUCAUCGUUAUGCUUUCUAUAUACUUCAGUAAGCAGCUCCUAAACUGCCAGUAAUAUCUCAUUGCAAGUUAAUACAUUUUUUCUUUCCUGCAUUCCUCACAGCCCCAACAUUCUUAAAUAAGCACAAAGAUCAUGUUGCACGCACCUUCAACUAUAUUUAGGUUCUAUUUUACUAUGUCCCAUAGACAUUGCAUUUCAACAGGACCCUCUCCAAUAUAUUCCAACUCCAACUCUAUCCAAAUAUUUACAAUCAAAAUUAUACUUACAAGAAAACAAUGUCAACCAUCUUCAUCGCAUUUGUUACAAAAGAAGCAAGUACUGACGCAUUUGUUACAGAAGAAGAUAGUCGUUUCCCCUUUUGCAUUUGCUUUUUUGUUAAUUUAUGACUAUUGUCCGCUCUAUUUAUAGUUCAAUCAUAGAUGAUAGUUACGCGCUGGUUUUGCCCUGGAAGACAAAAAACGAAUUUAAGGGGAAAGCUAAUGUACUGCCAACAACUGAAUUUGGAUGCCCGCUUAUCAGGUUUCAUUUGGACAUUUUGUUAGCUGUGUGAAUUCUGAAGUGGUAAGAAAAACAGACAAGACCCGAGGAUAAGCAAUAGUUAGUUAAAAAAGAAAAAACAGCAAAUUAUUGAAAGUACACCUCCUUGAACCAAUAUUUGUUUUGUUUACAGUUGAUCCAAGUUUCUAUAUCAAUGCCAGGCUGAUUUCUUCCCAGGACGAAAAAGCAAAAGAAACUUCUACAAGCAAGAUGCAGUAUGAUUUUGGCAUGACAGGAAUCAUAAGAUUCCAUUAGAUGGAUACUCAGAUACAGGGGCUACCUGGUUCAUUUUUUUGAUGAUGUGCAACUUCAAACUGGUAUGCCCCUCUCCUAGAUCCAUCUAAAUCGUCGAUGGCGACCAACAGCAGCAGCCCCACCCCCACCCCGCUCCUCGCCUCAGCGUUUUUCCCCUCCUCGACAUGCUCUACCUUCCAUGGUCGGUACAGCUGAUUGUGCUCUCUCUGACCUCGCUCUCCUAGGGGAGGAGCCGGGAGCGAGAGGGGGAUCUCCACUCAUCAUCCUGACACUCGCUCCAAACACUCAAUGUCGGAUUCUCCGUGCUCCUGCACCACCCUCCCCUCGGCAGCGUUCCUCCUCCGCCCACCCACCCACCCAGUGGAAUGCGAAGAGAUCCACCCGAGAGCCGGUGGAUUGGUUUCUUCCUCUAUUGGUAAGUCAUUCCUGGUCGGUCUUUGAUUGGACGGAUUAGUUUUGGUUCCUUUGUCGCCAGGCGAACCGAAUCUUGCUCCUCGGACUUUCCAGCACUAUAUCCUACACGUGCUGCUCUAUUUAAGUACCUUAAGAUGACCACAAUAUUUUUAUGGAAUACUGAGCCCUUUCUCUGCUUUUAAGAAUUGGUUAUCUUCGUGUGUCAUUAGUGGUUUUGAGUCCAACCUUGAAGUAACUGUCGCUUCAAAAUAUCCAUCUAGCAUUUUGUGAAAGCACUCACUCUGUUCAACAAGCAUCAAAUUGGAAAACUGGCACGUCAUAUUACAGCAGUAAUUUCAUUAUUUGAUACAAGAAUCUCCCUCAAAUUUGCUGAUAUAGCUAAGAAGAUAAUGCUGGUAGGUAAUAAUUUCUUUUAUUUUCAGUAUUUCUGGUGAACUUUGAAUGGUAGACCAUCCAAAUUUUUCCCUAUUUUGUUGCAGAUCCUAAUCUUUUGUAGCCAUGAUGGUAGAUAAUAGUCUCUUUUAUUUUUAUAAUUUCUGGUGAACUUUGAAUGGUGGUUCGUCCAGUUUUUCCCUCUUUUAAUGUAGAUCCUAAUCUUUUGUAGCCAUGAUGGUUUAUUUUUUCUAGGGUAUGUUUUGUUAUAGGGUACUAGGUCACCAGAUGUUGCAACUUGCAACUGAUAAUUGUAUUCUUAAAUGUCAUCCCUUUCUGCCCAUUGAUUAUGUCUUAUUGUUUUCAUUCAAAGAGAGCUGCAAGUAUCUUAAUCGAUAUGUUGUUCUCUCCUCCAUGUGUUCAGUUUUGAAUAUGGACGACACCAAUUCUACUACAUGCGCACCUAAAGAGAGUCAAAAUUAUAUUGAAACAGGUUUGUAAAAUUAACUGAACGUCAGCAGAUUACUUCUUAGACAUGACAAAAGUGGAAAUUAUAUUCUGGGUGACAAUACA